AUCUCGGUGGUGUAGUGGUAGGUAGCACACGUCCUCGGUAUGGAUGAAACGCGGGUUCGACUUGCGUCUGAGGUC